rnacentral:rRNA from 1 species
UACGGGGGGGGCAAGCGUUGUCCGGAAUUAUUGGGCGUAAAGAGCUCGUAGGCGGCCUGUUACGUCUGCUGUGAAAUCCCGGGGCUUAACCCCGGGCGUGCAGUGGAUACGGGCAGGCUGGAGGCAGGCAGGGGAGAACGGAAUUCCCGGUGUAGCGGUGAAAUGCGCAGAUAUCGGGAGGAACACCGGUGGCGAAGGCGGUUCUCUGGGCCUGUACUGACGCUGAGGAGCGAAAGCGUGGGGAGCGAACAGG